AAGGCUGUUCAACCAAAGCCUAAGGCUGCUGGUCGACCGGCUAAGACAGGGAAGGCCACUCCUACCAAGCCGAAGAAGGCUGUUCCAGUUGCUGCCAAGAAGCCGAAGAUUGUGAAAAAGGCGCCGUCAGUAAAGAAGGCCUCUGAUGUGAAGAAGGCCUAGGUGUAGAUCUGUUUGGGUUUUUUUUGGGGAUGGGCAGUGAGUUGUAUAUCUGACAGUGUUGUUGGGCGUUGGCGU
rnacentral:misc_RNA from 1 species